AUUUGAUCCAGGGAACAGAUGGUUUUGUCUUGGUUCCGCUGAUAGGGCAAUAACGGCAAGGAAGAAGGUUGUAGAGUGCGGAUGGAUGUGAAAAGGAAGAGGAUGGAUGCGAGAAGAGAGAAGAGGGGUGAAAGAGGAUAUGGCUAGAAAGAGGGAGAAGGACAGGGGGGAGGCGCUUCUUGAGGAUUUUUGUCUGACUGAUUUCAUACUCUCUUAUAAAUCAUGGUUAGCUAGGUAAACCUUUUGUACAACAGCUCUUGUUCAAAAGGAAGUUUGAUCUUUCGGCUUCUUA